rnacentral:tRNA from 1 species
GGAGAGAUGGCCGAGCGGUCUAAGGCGCACGCCUGGAAAGCGUGUAUACGUGAAUAGCGUAUCGCGGGUUCGAAUCCCGCUCUCUCCGCCA